CCCGCUGAACUUAAGCAUAUUAUUAAGCGGAGUAAAAGAAACUAGCAAGGAUGCCCUCAGUAACGGCGAGUGAAGCGGGCAAAGCUCAACCUGAAAAUCUGUUAUCCAAGCGGGUGUACGAAUUGUGGUCUAGAGACGCAUGAUCAGUGUGUGACCUAGGUAUAAAUCUUUUGAAGCAUGGUAUCAUAGAUGGUGAGAAUCCCGUCUUUGACCUAGAGUUUCGCCGCGUCAGAUCUGUGUUCAGAGAGUCGAGUUGUUUGGGAUUGCAGCUCUAAAUGCGUGGUAAAUGUCAUCUAUAGCUAAAUAUCGACGAGAGACCGAGAGAGGACCAGUGCCGUGAGGGAAAGAUGAAAAGACCUUUGAAAAGAGAGUUAAAAAGUACUAGAAAUUGCUAAGAGGGAAGCGUCUGGAAACCAGUCGUGACUUGCGUAUAUUUUUACCAUUCGCUCCCGGAUAUUGUUAUGAGUGUUAGAGUACAAAGCCUACCUUGUGGCAAUUGAAGGAGUGGGUGGGUGAAGUAUUGUACGUCGGAUCAGAAUCAAUACUAUUCGUGAGAGACAGCUAGUGGCGACGGUAGUUCUGUAUAGGGCAGCUUAUAUGGAAUGGUUAGUGUUGUAGCGCUCUCAUGGAUUGGAUUGAGGUGCAAUUGAAAUGCGCUCCAGUAGGUUAUCGAUUCCUUGAGCUUACCACACCAGGAGACAUGGACAACAAAGUUGUGAUGUUUCAGAAGUGUGUUUCUGGAAAGGAUGAAUUAGAUGCUGCAUUUGAGAUUCUGAUGAAAUGCUUUUCAAUGACCCGUCUUGAAACGCGG
rnacentral:rRNA from 1 species